AUGCAAGUGUACAAAGUGUAAGAUAGAUCUCGGUACCUUAUGUAAUAGUUAUGUGUCAUGCCUGGUAUGUGUGUUACCAUAUAUAGAAGUGUACAUGUGUCAUGCCUGGUAUGUGUGUUACUGUAUAUACAAGUGUACAUGUGUCAUGCCUGGUAUGUUUGUAACUGUAUACACAAGUGUAUGUGUGUCGUGCCUGGUAUGUUUGUAACUGUAGAUACAAGUGUAUGUGUGUCGUGCCUGGUGUGUGUUAAUGUAUAUACAAGUGUAUGUGUGUCAUGCUUUGUAUGUGUGUUACUGUAUAUACAAGUGUAUGUGUGUCGUGCUUGGUAUGUGUGUUACUGUAUAUACAAGUGUACAUGUGUCGUGCCUGGUAUGUGUGCUACUGUAUAUAGGUAUACAAAGUGUGAGAUAGAUCUUGGUACUGUUAGUCUGGUUUGAUGUUAGGUCGUAUCACCAUGGAAAUCCUCAUUUUGUUUUAUUGAUCAACAUUGUUUUAGCUUUUAAAUGGCUCCUGUUUGCAGUUUUGUAUGAGACUGCUUGUUACAGGUGCCCUAAAUACCUAGUCCCUUGUUGUCAGUGUAGAUCCAUAUGUUUAUCCUAUUAAGUUUCAGUGUUUCCAUUCCUAGCUAUAUAUUUAAAAUAUAUUAAUUGUUAAGUGUUUUUUUUUUCAGUGUUUGUAUCCUACAUCAUUUCCUUGUAUUGAUUUUGAAUGGCUUUAGAGUAAAGAUAGCUCUGUACUAAAUUGUAUGUUGAUUUGCUAGCCCUGAAGUGAAAAUUCUUUUGUGAUAUUUUCUAGGGAUCUGUUCAAUGUUUAUAGAUUUUUGUGUAGGUGUUAGUGUACCCUGUCAGCAGACAUUCUACUUUCAGUUUUAACAGAGAUCACUUUACAAAAUGCAAUUAGAUACAUAAACAUCCAACCUAUGGUAAAGUUAUAGUCUCAUUCCAUCUCUCCACUUAGUGAAGAUAUGAGGUGUUGCACUGUGAGGAAUUGUUUUGAUUUCAAGUAUCUAGUGAGGCUAUAUAUUCCCAGUUCAUUGUGGCCAAGCAGAUAGUAAUAGUAGACAGUAAUUUUAGGCUGGAGACAGCCGUUCUCACUGGCUGUCGAUAUUGGUACACCAAACAUAGUCACUAGAACUCUACUUCAAUAAUAAUUUGACACUAGAAAUGGCCCUUCUCACUGGCUAAAAGAUAUUGGUACACCAAACAUAGUCACUAGAACUCUACUUCAAUAACGAUUUGAGACUAGAAAUGGCCCUUCUCACUGGCUGUAGAUAUUGGGCACACUUAAGUUUUGUUUCUGCUAUUAAUACCAUUUAGAAGAUUAUGAAGUGUUAUCUAGUCAUUUAGGAGCAACAUUUUUGUGUAAACUGAGAUUUUAUAUAUGGUACCUGUUUAUGUAAUAUAAAAGUGUUUUCUUCCUCACAAGCAAGGUUUGCAUUUGAUUCUUGCAUCUAAGAUUGAUACAGUAAAGCACGGUUUGACUUGCUUCUGUUCCUGCUGUGUACUAUAUUAGUAUAUUAAUCGAGAUAGUCAUCCUCUUGUUGUAUCAUGAAGUCCAAAUCUGUUCGGACUUUUUCCUUGUACAUCUUUUUCUUUGUGUAUCUCUCAGACCAGACAGAUUUUAUUUUACCAUGUUGAUGAAUGCCAUAUAUAUAAUUUUUUGUGAGUGAAUAUGAUACAUAUUGAGUCGAUGGGAGGCUUUAACUGGCCCUGUCUUCAUGUAAAUGGUGAUAUAAACUCCUGGUGUGCUGUGAUCUAUUUAACCUUAGUACAUUUCUCUCUAUUACUUGUUUUUGUUGUCUGUUAUUGUAUCCAUAGUUUUAUCUCAUCAAGAUUUGUUAUUGUGGAGAAAUUGAGAAAAGAUGUUUAAUCUGAAUUAUGUUUAAUAUUUUUAUUAAAUUUUUUUGGCAAUUGAGCAUUUCAGUCUCUACCACGCUUUGUUAAAAGUACAAAUUGUAUAUAAUAAGUGCAUUUCCUUUAUGAAUUGUAUAAACAUAUAUACAAAUCAUUGCCAUUGUAAAAAUAACUGGUCAAAUGCUAGCAGUGUUUCACUUUACAGACAUAACAGGUUUUCUCAUGCCUCAGCCUUCACACAUGUAUUGGACUACUUUUGAGUGAAAUAUGUCCAUAAUCUGGGCUCUGAUUAUGCAGACUUGGGUGUAUGAUGUGUGAGGUUAUGUGUGUGUAACAUACUUGAAUCAUCUUAAUAAGUUCCAUUCUAUUUUACUGUAAAGAAUUUCCUUUAUUACAUCAAGGCCUUGUCUUUUGGGUUAGUUGUAAGUAUCAUUAAUUGUAACUUAUGAGUGUAAUCACUGUAGGAAACAAAACCUUGGUUUGAUUACAGAUUACAGAGAUACUGCCUAGAAAUGGGCCCUCUGGAUAUAUCUGACAGCAAACAUUUCUGCAGAUUAGAUCCUACAAUAUCAAUUUUUCAAGUACUAGUCAGAUUUUAAUACACAACUACAUCUAAUAAAGAUGUUGAUACUAAAUACUAUAAUCCUAGUGUGUGGUGAUUUUGUUAAUUUAUCAGUUAACAUGGUUAUGUAUGGAGAAAUAGUUUACAGCUGAUACCACAUACAAUAGUAUUGAUAACACAUAAUUAGUCAUUUUUGUUCUAAAAGUUUAGUUUUUUUUUUCUUCUUUUUUUUUCUGGAAUUUAUUUCAGAAACAGAGUUUUAUUGGUAUUACUUAGACCUACUGGUCAUUCCUGGCUGAUCACAAACUAUCUCUUCUGUGUCUAAUAAUCCAUCAUUUGUAAUAAUUGUUGGAAAACUUAUUGUUCAUUUUGUAAGAAAUGAUGUAUAAUCAAUUGUACUAGACACCCCAUUAAUGUUUAGGACUUAUUAGCUUUGAAAGAUCUUGAGGUUUGGGAAUGUUUGGUCUGAACAUCAGAUUAGAACCAAGAAAAUUUUCUUUUAUCAGUUUUUAAAUUUUUUUAGUUGAUACAAUAACAGAUCAUAUCCACUUAAUGAUUCCUUGUUAAGUUAUACGAUUCUUACUUUUUCCAACAAGGUACUUGAGAAUAGGCUAUAUUAGUGUAGGUGACCCAGUACAACUGGGCUGAAUGCAAGAUAAAAACUCCCCUCCCAACAAACAUUGGUUCAGUAACUUUCAUUCUAUUUGCAAAUUUUUGAAAAUCAUGUUGUUUAUCAUUAAAAUAUAAGUCCAAAAGUAAUCAAAAUGUGUAAGAAAAGCAUUUGCUUGGUUAAUGUUAUUUUUGUUAAUAUGAUGUGGUGAUAAAUUGUGUUGGAUUAGGUGAUAUGAUGAUGAUUAAGUGUUUUAUACUUAUUGUAUGUUAAUGUAACUAUCAGCUUCAAUGCAUGUUGACCCACAAUACAGCAGAAUUGUUCUAAAAAUAUAUUGGUUUGACACAUUUUGUCAUUUUUUUUGUGUCUGUUUGUAAUUAGUUGAAAGGAGUUUUCCAAAGUCAUCUUAAUAUAAGGAACAUCGUAUGGACAUAUCUAUUUAAGUAUUUGUCCAUGGUCCUAUCAAUAAAAGGAAUGACCAAUGGUUGAUCAUGUCUUAAUAUGGAAUAUGCUUUAGUUUGAUACACUUGUUGAUUAAUGUGCAUGUACUUAAGGUAUUGACAUUUUUCCUACACUAUAAUACUUAAGGUAUUGACAUUUUUCCUACUCUGUAAUACUUAAGGUAUUGACAUUUUUCCUACAUUGUAAAACUUAAGGUAUUGACAUUUUUCCUACUCUGUAAAACUUAAGGUAUUGACAUUUUUCCUACUCUGUAAAACUUAAGAUAUUGACAUUUUUCCUACACUGUAAUACUUAAGGUAUUGACAUUUUUCCCUACACUGUAAUACUUAAGGUAUUGACAUUUUUCCCUACACUGUAAAACUUAAGGUAUUGACAUUUUUCAUACACUGUAACACUUAAGGUAUUGACAUUUUCCCUACACUGUAAUACUUAAGAUAUUGACAUUUUCCCUACACUGUAAUACUUAAGGUAUUGACAUUUUCCUACACUGUAAUACUUAAGGUAUUGACAUUUUCCUACACUGUAAAACUUAAGGUAUUGACAUUUUCCCUACACUGUAAUACUUAAGGUAUUGACAUUUUUCCUACACUGUAAUACUUAAGGUAUUGACAUUUUCCCUACAUUGUAAUACUUAAGAUAUUGACAUUUUCCCUACACUGUAAUACUUAAGGUAUUGACAUUUUCCCUACACUGUAAUACUUAAGGUAUUGACAUUUUCCUACACUGUAAUACUUAAUGUAUUGACAUUUUUCCUACUCUGUAAAACUUAAGAUAUUGACAUUUUUCCUACACUGUAAUACUUAAGGUAUUGACAUUUUCCCUACACUGUAAUACUUAAGGUAUUGACAUUUUUCCUACUCUGUAAAACUUAAGGUAUUGACAUUUUCCCUACACUGUAAUACUUAAGGUAUUGACAUUUUUCCUACAUUGUAAAACUUAAGGUAUUGACAUUUUUCCUACUCUGUAAUACUUAAGGUAUUGGCAUUGUCCUUACACUGCAAUAAUUAAGGUACAAGACAUUUUCCCAUACACUGUAAUGUGCAAUACUGAUUGUUGUAGAGCUGUGACUGAUACAUUAUGUACCACAGAUAUAUUUGUAUGCAUCUCGUUGUAGCAGAGAGCUGUAACCCAUUAUGUUAGACUCUUUUAGAUGAUGCACUUUGACCUAUAGAAUUGUGGAUGACAAAUUACUUUAUAGAUGUUGUACCAGAAACAUUAUUGAGUUGGACUGUAUAGAUGGUGCACCAUAGACAUAUUGAGUUGGACUAUGUAGAAGGUGCACCGAUGACAUAUUGAGUUGGACUAUAUAGAUGGUGCACCAUAGACAUAUUGAGUUGGACUGUAUAGAUGGUGCACCAUAGACAUAUUGAGUUGGACUAUGUAGAAGGUGCACCGAUGACAUAUUGAGUUGGACUAUAUAGAUGGUGCACCAGUGACAAUGAGUUGGACUGUAUAGAUGGUGCACCAUAGACAUAUUGAGUUGGACUAUGUAGAUGGUGCACCAGUGACAUAUUGAGUUGGACUAUAUAGAAGGUGCACCAGUGACAUAUUGAGUUGGACUAUGUAGAUGGUGCACCAGUGACAUAUUGAGUUGGACUAUAUAGAUGGUGCACCAGUGACAUAUUGAGUUGGACUAUAUAGAAGGUGCACCGGUGACAUAUUGAGUUGGACUAUGUAGAAGGUGCACCAGUGACAUAUUGAGUUGGACUAUGUAGAAGGUACACCAGUGACAUAUUGAGUUGGACUAUGUAGAAGGUGCACCGGUGACAUAUUGAGUUGGACUAUGUAGAAGGUACACCAGUGACAUAUUGAGUUGGACUGUAUAGAUGGUACACCAGUGACUUACAGAGAGUGACUAAUAAGUGGAACAUCAUAGACAUUCAGUUGGACUAUAGGAAUGGUACACCUGUGAUAUUGAGUUAGACUAUAUAUAGAUGUAGACACUAGAAAUGGUCCACUAGUUGACAUACUGAGUUACACACUAUAGAAGAACUAUUAAAGAAUUAUGUAAAUAUUACAGCAGUGACUAAUUCAGUUGGAGGAUUUAAGUGGUACACUGAUUACUUACUGAUUUGGACGAUAUAAGUGGUACCCCAAUGACUUACUGAGUUUGAAAAUAUAUAUGGUGCACUAGAGAAUAGUUUAAUUGGACUGUAAGUGGUGCACCAAUGACUUGAGUUGCACUGUGUACCAGUGACCUAUAUAAUUUGACUGUUAAACUAUUUGGUAAAAAGCCUACACAAUUGUUAUUUGAACCAAUCAUUUAGGGAAGUGGUUGCUUUUGCUCUGUCUCGGGUGAGUGUCAUUGAUACAGCUUGUUGCCAUGUGGUUAGACACCAAUAAACAAUCUACACAGACUAAA